GUUGUUGCUUGCUAUCAACCCUAUAAGAGAUAUCGUGUAUUAUCUGAAUUCGGUAAAUGGUGACUGGACCAAUUAUCCGGCUAUGAAGGAAAUCGUUGAUUUAUCAAUACAAGUGUUCCGAAGUCAACGGGACGCACAGGUAUCCUGGACUAAAUCAAACAACAUUACUUGGAUCAAAGUGCAGUGUCCGCAACAGCGAAACAGUUCAGAUUGCGGAUACUUUGUUUUGAGGUUUAUGAAAGAAAUCCUUCAGGCGAAUCAAUUAGAGAUUCCGCUCACG